CAAUGCACACACACAUAGUAAGACACACAUGGCAGGGCAGUGUUCACCUAGAAAUACACACAUAUGUAUGCAGUCACACACCAGGACACUCACAGCAGAGUAUUUUCUUGACUAUAGGGUGGGAACCAAAGCUAGGGGUCAUGAGGGGCCAAGGGGGGGACCCAACCCAUGGAAAUUGGGUGCCUGGGGUGGAUGAAUGGACAGGUUCUGAAGGUCAGACAGGUGAGUGUUCCCCAGUGGGCGGCUGCAAUGAGACCCGCAUGCUGGAGUUGCUGCCCUGGUGCGGGGAGGCCUUCGCCAACAUGAUGCACAAGGUGGAGGUCUGGAAGCGGUGCAACCUGUCUGAGUUCAUCAUGUACUACGAGAGCUUCACCAACUGCACCGAGUCGAAAGCCAGGGUGGUGGGCUGCUACUGGCCCAACCACCUGGCCCAGGGCUUCGUCACCGACGUCCACAGGUGGUUCUUCCACAACUGCACGGUGGACAGGCCGCACUGGGAGGAUCCCCCGGAUGAAAUUCUCAUCCCGCUCAUUGUCGUACCCAUCCUGCUGACCCUCGCCAUGACUGGCCUGGUGGUGUGGCACAGCAAACGCACCGACCGGCUGCUGUGAGGGCCGGGGAGCGGGAGGCGCCGCGCCUGGAGAGACGGAAGAAAGUGCCCCAGAGCUGGGAGAGCCGGUGGACACUGCUUCGGCUGCCCCCCAACCCGACCUGGGCAGCCGUGGGCUGGGGCUUGUGUGCCGGGCACAAAUCGCCGCUGCUUGGUCCGUGCAGCCCAGGCUGGGCUGGGGCCUCCGGGGUUCCCGGGUUAUUCCUUAGCACGGGCCCCAGCCCGGGCCCGACCCGGACCCGGAUCCCGCCUCCCCACUGACUCUACGCCUGGCCCCAUCCCAG